UGAGAGUGUCCAUUCUAUUGCUAUUGUUUGUUUGGUUACCCAGAAAUUACGAGAAAAGAAAAUGAAAUCCUGUAUUUGUGAUUUGAUUACGUUAAAUAAAAGACCUCGUCCAAAACUUGUUGGAUCAUCUUCGAGCUCGUUUGUGGGUUUCAGUUGGAAUGGCUAUUGGAGCGUCUACGAUGGUAGUUCAGGAUAAAGAGUGCGGUUGGGAAUUUGGGAUGUAGAUGGAUAACAUGCUGUACUAAUACAUUUUGCUGGGCUCUGAGUUGGGCUUUGCCCAACCCAGGUUCGAACUAUUACUCAAACGGGUGGGCUUUGAGUUGAGCUAAUCCCAAUCCAAGUUGAAAAUCCAACUCACACGGUUAACGCUUAGCUGGGGAGUGUCGGCUGAGCUUGGCAUCAACAUCAAUACCAUCAAAGCUAUUAAUUAAUGAAGCCAAGCAUAAUGUUUCAUACAUACAAGACAAAGAGAAGGAUGCUUAACGGUCACUUGUUCAUAAUAAUAAUACUAUAAUAUGUCUCUACUAUUGGAGGGGGAAUUUAUUUGGUUUUGGAGGGGGAAUUUAUUUUACAUUUUUAAUGAUUGAGUACCGUCUAUUCAACUCUGUUGUACGGAUUUAAGGGUCAACCUGAUGAUGUACAAAACUCAGAAUAUGAUCCAAACUCUAAUUUCUGUUAUGAGCCGUGAUAUUUAGUUUAGAGGGAAUUGUCGAAUAGAAUAGUUUUUGAUCGGAAAUGAAUAGAUAUUGGGUGAGGCAUG